rnacentral:rRNA from 1 species
GACGAACGCUGGCGGCGUGCUUAACACAUGCAAGUCGAACGAUGAAGAAGAGAAACGCGAACUUCGGUUCAAAUUUCACUUCGGAUUAGUGGCAGACGGGUGAGUAACGCGUGAGCAACCUACCUCUUACAAAGGGAUAGCCUCGGGAAACCGUGAUUAAUACCAUAUGACACAUUCAUAAGGCAUCUUAAGAAUGUUAAAGCUACGGCGGUAAGAGAUGGGCUCGCGUCCCAUUAGCUAGUUGGUGAGGUAACGGCCCACCAAGGCGACGAUGGGUAACCGGACUGAGAGGGUGAACGGUCACAUUGGAACUGAGACACGGUCCAAACUCCUACGGGAGGCAGCAGUGGGGAAUAUUGCACAAUGGAGGGAACUCUGAUGCAGCGACGCCGCGUGAGCGAUGAAGGAAUUCGUUUCGUAAAGCUCUGUUCUAUGGGAAGAAAAGGACUGUACCAUAGGAGAAAGCCCCGGCUAAAUACGUG